rnacentral:ncRNA from 1 species
UUGGCUGGGGCAGUACACCUGUCAAACCAUAACGCAGGUCUCCUAAGGCGAGCUCAGGGAGAAUGGAAACCUCCCAUGGAGGAGAAGGGCAAAAGCUUGCUUGGUACUGACUUUCAGUAUGAACACAGACUGUGAAAGAGGGGCCUCAAGAUCCUUGUGACUUUUUGGGUUUUGCCCCAAACCCCAAACAUCCCCAACUCAUAAUACGUUUAAGCCUGUUAAUUGUAAUUGCCAUUUUUCAGGAAGAGGUUUAGAAUCAGUAGAGCUGAAAAUUGUAAAUGUGAAGUAAAAUUUUUAAAAGGAAUUAACGGUAAUUAAGAG